rnacentral:rRNA from 1 species
AGAACGACUCUCGGCAACGGAUAUCUCGGCUCUUGCAUCGAUGAAGAACGUAGCAAAGUGCGAUACUUGGUGUGAAUUGCAGAAUCCCGCGAACCAUCGAGUUUUUGAACGCAAGUUGCGCCCGAGGCCAAUAGGUUGAGGGCACGUCUGCCUGGGCGUCUCGC